UCCAAUUCAAAGUUGAACUUGGGCUGGGAGCAACGCUCUUUCUCCAUGGCUGCUUCUACUGGUUUCUUAACACCCUAUCCAUCCUCUCUUUUUCCCAAAACUACUAAUGCCACAAUACCAAAACGACUUAUACCAUGCGCCCACUCGCAACCCGUGUUUAAUUUUCGCUACCCCAAACUCUCAUGCUUGCCUUUGUGUUCCCCAACUGGGUUUAGCGCAGUCUUAGCGGUGGUAGAUGAGGAAGCAGUGGCGGUUGAGGAUAAUGUGGACGAAAACGAAGAAGACGUCGACGUUUCAGUUCAAGAAUCAAAGAACCGAGCAAGACCAUGUGAAUUAUAUGUGUGUAACUUGCCGCGGAGCUAUGACAUUUCAGAGCUUGUCGAGAUGUUUAAGCCUUUUGGAACUGUUAUUUCCGUUGAGGUAUCACGGAGUCCUGACACGGGUAUAAGUCGAGGCUGUGGUUAUGUGACAAUGGCAACUAUAAAUUCAGCAAAAAAUGCUAUUGCAGCAUUGGAUGGAUCUGACGUGGGUGGACGUCAAAUGCGGGUUAGAUUUUCAGUUGAUAUGAGUAUUGGGAAGAGGAAUACUGAGGCACUGAAUUCAACACCCAGGAAGAUCCUUAUAUGUGAAAGCCCUCAUAAAUUGUAUGUUGGCAAUCUUGCCUGGGGGGUAAAACCUAAGGAUUUGGGGGAACAAUUUAGCCAGUUUGGGACUGUGGUCAGUGCAAGUGUGUUGCAUGAUCGUAAAGGAGGAAACAACCGUGUUUUUGCAUUUCUUUCCUUCUCUUCAGCAGCAGAACGUGAUGCUGCAUUCGCUUUAAAUGGAACAAAUUUUCGAGGUCGGACAUUAAUCGUGAGAAAAGGUGUUGAAAGAACUGAACCUUGACUGUAGCUGUGAUUUGUAGAUGUUGAUGAAGAAAUUUAUUUUAUCAACUGAAAAGGGAAUUAACUUGGAGCAUCCUCCUUGGCUGAAAUGUGUAGUCAGAAGAGCAGGAUGGUUUAGGAAAUGAUGAGAUACACCAAUUUGGAACUCGUGGCUAAUGAAUCACUAUAUAUAAUGUGUCAAAUUAGAAAAGAACUAGAUUUGAACUUGCUAAUGAACUUGAUUAGGGUCUGGCUGGACUGAGUAAAUGACUGGGAAUUUCGUAAGUUGGCUGAUGUAUUUAGAUAACUGUUUUGUUAUAUCAACUUAAACACUGUUACAAAUGUUAUUAUCGAAGGAUCCAAUAUCAUAUUUUGCUUAUGAACCUCCAUACAUUUGUGCAUAAAAAUCACUUUUAGGUGU